rnacentral:rRNA from 1 species
GAUGAACGCUGUCUACAGGCUUAACACAUGCAAGUCGAGGGGAAACGACGGGGAAGCUUGCUUCCCCGGGCGUCGACCGGCGCACGGGUGAGUAACGCGUAUCCAACCUGCCUCUGACUGAGGGAUAACCCGUCGAAAGUCGGCCUAAUACCUCAUGGCAUCGUCUGCGGGCAUCCAACGACGAUUAAAGAUUUCAUCGGUCAGGGAUGGGGAUGCGUCUGAUUAGCUUGUUGGCGGGGUAACGGCCCACCAAGGCUACGAUCAGUAGGGGUUCUGAGAGGAAGGUCCCCCACAUUGGAACUGAGACACGGUCCAAACUCCUACGGGAGGCAGCAGUGAGGAAUAGUGGUCAAUGGGCGGGAGCCUGAACCAGCCAAGUAGCGUGCAGGAUGACGGCCCUAUGGGUUGUAAACUGCUUUUAGGCGGGGAUAAAGUGAGGGACGUGUCCUUCAUUGCAGGUACCGCAUGAAUAAGAACCGGCUAAUUCCGUG